ACACACACACACACACACGCACGCACACGCAGAGCCCCGCCGGGCUGUUCCCGUUUAUUGUGAAGUGCAGCGCGGCCGGCGGUGCCUUUUGUUUUUCGUUUCCUUUUUGUUUUGUGCUUUGAUCCUCCGCCGGAAGGACGGACGGACGGACGGACGGACGGACAGACGGACGGACGGACGGACGCAGCUCCCGGGUGUGCUGCCAUUUACCUGAAUGGGGGCGGGGAUUUUGGGGGGGGGGGGGUGGUGGUGUUUGAGGGGGGGGGUUUGGGGUUGGGGGUGGGAGGGGGGGGGGCCGCGGCGAGAGCCUGCCCGCUGCGGGGCGAGGGGAUUGGGGGGGGGGCGUGCAAAAGGGCGUGCAAAAGGGCGUGCAAUGGGCGUGCGGGGCGCCGAGUGAGUACAGGGCGUGGUGGGAGUGUGGGGGGGAGGGGGUGUGAGUGUCACGUGGGUGGCGCGCGUUGUGGGUGUGCUGUGGGUGUGCAAUGAGUGUGCAAUGGGUGCUGAGUGUGUGCAGUGCAUGGUGGGAGUGUGUGAGUGUGUGUGUGUCACGUGUGUCAUGUGCGUCGUGGGUGUGCAAUGGGUGUUGGGUGUGUAGUUGGUGUGCAGUGGGUGUGCAAAGGGUGUGCAAUUGGCAUGCAGUGCGUGUUCGGAGUGUCUUUGUGUGUGUCACAUGUGUCACGUGUGUCAUGGGUGUGCAAUGGGUGUGCAAUGGGUGUGCGGGGCGCCGAGUGAGCGCGGGGCGUGGUGGGAGUGUGGGGGAGGGGGGGGUGUGAGUGUCACGUGGGUGGCGCGCGUUGUGGGUGUGCUGUGGGUGUGCAAUGGGUGUGCAAUGGGUGUUGAGUGUGUGCAGAGUGUGGUGGGAGUGUGUGAGUGUGUGUGUGUCACGUGUGUCACAUGUGUCAUGGGUGUGCAAUGUGUGUGCAGGGAGCUGAGUGUGUGCAGUGUGUGUUGGGAGUGUGUGUGUGUCACGUGUGUCACGUUUGUCAUGGGUGUGCAAUGGGUGUGCAGGGAGUGGAGUGUGUGCAGUGCGUGCUGGGAGGGUGUGAGUGUGUGUCACAUGUGUCACGUGUGUCAUGGGUGUACAUUGGGUGUGCAAUGGACGUGUGGGGCGCCGAGUGAGUACAGGGCGUGGUGGGAGUGUGGGGGAGGGGGGGGUGUGAGUGUCACGUGGGUGGCGCGCGUUGUGGGUGUGCUGUGGGUGUGCAAUGGGUGUGCAAUGGGUGUGCAGUGGGUGUGUGGGGUGUUGAGUGUGUGCACAGUGUGGUGGAGUGUGUGAGUGUGUGUGUGUCACGUGUGUCAUGUGUGUCAUGGGUGUCACGGAUGUUGGGUGUGUAGUGGGUGUGCAGUGGGUGUGCAAAGGGUGUGCAAUUGGCAUGCAGUGCGUGUUGGGAGUAUGUGAGUGUGUGUGUCACAUGUGUCACGUGCGUCGUGGGUGUGCAAUGGGUGUGCAAUGGGCGUGUGGGGCGCCGAGUGAGUACAGGGCAUGGUGGGAGUGUGGGGGAGGGGGGGUGUGAGUGUCACGUGGGUGGCGUGCAUUGUGGGUGUGCUGUGGGUGUGCAAUGGGCGUGCAAUGGGUGUGCAAUGGGUGCUGAGUGUGUGCAGUGCGUGGUGGGAGUGUGUGAGUGUGUGUGUGUGUCACGUGUGUCAUGUGUGUCAUGAGUGUCACGGGUGUUGGGUGUGUAGUGGGUGUGCAGUGGGUGUGCAAAGGGUGUGCAAUGGGCGUGCAGUGCGUGUUGGGAGUAUGUGAGUGUGUGUGUCACAUGUGUCACGUGCGUCGUGGGUGUGCAAUGGGUGUGCAAUGGGCGUGUGGGGCGCCGAGUGAGUACAGGGCGUGGUGGGAGUGUGGGGGAGGGGGGGGUGUGAGUGUCACGUGGGUGGCGUGCAUUGUGGGUGUGCUGUGGGUGUGCAAUGGGUGUGCAGUGGGUGUGCAGUGGGUGUGUGGGGUGUUGAGUGUGUGCAGUGCGUGGUGGAGUGUGUGAGUGUGUGUGUGUCACGUGUGUCAUGUGCGUCGUGGGUGUGCAAUGGGUGUUGGGUGUGUAGUUGGUGUGCAGUGGGUGUGCAAAGGGUGUGCAAUGGGCGUGCAGGGCGCCGAGUGAGUACAGGGCGUGGUGGGAGUGUGGGGGAGGGGGGGGUGUGAGUGUCACGUGGGUGGCGUGCAUUGUGGGUGUGCUGUGGGUGUGCAAUGGGUGUGCAGUGGGUGUGCAGUGGGUGUGUGGGGUGUUGAGUGUGUGCAGUGCGUGGUGGAGUGUGUGAGUGUGUGUGUGUCACGUGUGUCAUGUGCGUCGUGGGUGUGCAAUGGGUGUUGGGUGUGUAGUUGGUGUGCAGUGGGUGUGCAAAGGGUGUGCAAUGGGCGUGCAGUGUGUGUUGGGAGUAUGUGAGUGUGUGUGUCACAUGUGUCACGUGCGUCGUGGGUGUGCAAUGGGUGUGCAAUGGGCGUGUGGGGCGCCGAGUGAGUACAGGGCGUGGUGGGAGUGUGGGGGGGAGGGGGUGUGAGUGUCACGUGGGUGGCGCGCGUUGUGGGUGUGCUGUGGGUGUGCAAUGGGUGUGCAAUGGGCGUGCAAUGGGUGCUGAGUGUGUGCAGUGCAUGGUGGGAGUGUGUGAGUGUGUGUGUGUCACGUGUGUCAUGUGUGUCAUGGGUGUCACGGAUGUUGGGUGUGUAGUGGGUGUGCAGUGGGUGUGCAAAGGGUGUGCAAUUGGCAUGCAGUGCGUGUUGGGAGUAUGUGAGUGUGUGUGUCACAUGUGUCACGUGCGUCGUGGGUGUGCAAUGGGUGUGCAAUGGGCGUGUGGGGCGCCGAGUGAGUACAGGGCAUGGUGGGAGUGUGGGGGAGGGGGGGGUGUGAGUGUCACGUGGGUGGCGUGCAUUGUGGGUGUGCUGUGGGUGUGCAAUGGGUGUGCAGUGGGUGUGCAGUGGGUGUGUGGGGUGUUGAGUGUGUGCAGUGCAUGGUGGGAGUGUGUGAGUGUGUGUGUGUCACGUGUGUCAUGUGUGUCAUGGGUGUCACGGAUGUUGGGUGUGUAGUGGGUGUGCAGUGGGUGUGCAAAGGGUGUGCAAUUGGCAUGCAGUGCGUGUUGGGAGUAUGUGAGUGUGUGUGUCACAUGUGUCACGUGCAUCGUGGGUGUGCAAUGGGUGUGCAAUGGGCGUGCGGGGCGCCGAGUGAGUACAGGGCGUGGUGGGAGUGUGGGGGAGGGGGGGGUGUGAGUGUCACGUGGGUGGCGCGCGUUGUGGGUGUGCUGUGAGUGUGCAAUGGGUGUGCAAUGGGUGCUGAGUGUGUGCAGUGCGUGGUGGGAGUGUGUGAGUGUGUGUGUGUGUCACGUGUGUCAUGUGUGUCAUGAGUGUCACGGGUGUUGGGUGUGUAGUUGGUGUGCAGUGGGUGUGCAAUGGGUGUGCAAUGGGCGUGCAAUGGGUGCUGAGUGUGUGCAGUGCAUGGUGGGAGUGUGUGAGUGCGUGUGUGUCACGUGUGUCAUGUGUGUCAUGGGUGUCACGGAUGUUGGGUGUGUAGUGGGUGUGCAGUGGGUGUGCAAAGGGUGUGCAAUUGGCAUGCAGUGCGUGUUGGGAGUAUGUGAGUGUGUGUGUCACAUGUGUCACGUGCGUCGUGGGUGUGCAAUGGGUGUGCAAUGGGCGUGUGGGGCGCCGAGUGAGUACAGGGCAUGGUGGGAGUGUGGGGGAGGGGGGGCUGUGAGUGUCACGUGGGUGGCGCGCGUUGUGGGUGUGCUGUGGGUGUGCAAUGGGUGUGCAGUGGGUGUGUGGGGUGCUGAGUGUGUGCAGAGUGUGGUGGGAGUGUGUGAGUGUGUGUGUAUCAUGGGUGUCACGUGCGUUGUGGGUGUGCAAUGGGUGUGCAGGGAGCUGAGUGUGUGCAGCGUGUGGUGGGAGUGUGUGAGUGUGUGUGUCAUAUGUGUCACGUGUGUCAUGGGUGUGCAAUGGGCGUGAAAUGGGUGUACAAUGGGCAUGUGGGGCACUGAGUGUGUGCAGUGCGUGCUGGGAGUGUGUGAGUGUGUGUGUCACGGGUGUCACGUGUGUCAUGGGUGUGCAAUGGGCGUGUGGGGCGCCGAGUGAGCGCGGGGCGUGGUGGGAGUGUGGGGGAGGGGGGGGUGUGAGUGUCACGUGGGUGGCGCGCGUUGUGGGUGUGCUGUGGGUGUGCUGUGGGUGUGCAAUGGGUGCUGAGUGUGUGCAGUGCGUGGUGGGAGUGUGUGAGUGUGUGUGUGUCACGUGUGUCACGUGUGUCAUGGGUGUGCAAUGUGUGUGCAGGGAGCUGAGUGUGUGCAGUGCGUGGUGGGAGUGUGGUGUGUUUAUGUGUCAAGUGUGUCACGUGUGUCAUGGGUGUGCAAUGGAUGUGCAGUGGGUGUGUGGGGUGCUGAGUGUGUGCACAGUGUGGUGGAGUGUGUGAGUGUGUGUGUGUCAUGUGUGUCAUGUGCGUCGUGGGUGUGCAAUGGGUGUUGGGUGUGUAGUUGGUGUGCAGUGGGUGUGCAAAGGGUGUGCAAUGGGCGUGCAGUGCGUGUUCGGAGUGUGUUUGUGUGUGUCAUGUGUGUUACGUGUGUCAUGGGUGUGCAAUGGGUGUGCAGUGGGAGUGUGGGGCGCUGAGUGUGUGCAGUGCGUGGUGGGAGUGUGUGUGUCAUGUGUGUCACGGGUGUCACGUGCCUUGUGGGUGUGCAAUGGGUGUGCAGGGAGCUGAGUGUGUGCAGUGUGUGCUGGGAGUGUGUGUAUGUGUGUCACGUGUGUCAUGGGUGUGCAAUGGGUGUGCAGGGAGCUGAGUGUGUGCAGUGCGUGCUGGGAGGGUGUGAGUGUGUGUGUCACAUGUGUCACGUGUGUCAUGGGUGUGCAAUGGGUGUGAAGUGGGAGUGUGGGGCGCUGUGUGUGUGCAGAGUGUGGUGGGAGUGUGUGAGUGUGUGUGUAUCACGUGUGUCACGUGUGUCAUGAGUGUGCAAUGGGCGUGCAAUGUGCGUGCAGGGAGCUGAGUGUGUGCAGUGCGUGGUGGGAGUGCGUGUGUGUCACGUGUGUAGCAGGGGUGCAAUGGGUGUGCAAUGGAGGUGCAAUGGGUGAGCUCUGGCUGUGCAAUGGGUGUGCAGGGAGCUGAGUGUGUGCAGUGUGUGGUGGGAGUGUGUAUGUGUGUGUCACGGGUGUUGGAUGUGUAGUUGGUGUGCAAAGGGUGUGCAAUUAGCAUGCAGUGCGUGUUGGGAGUGUGUUUGUGUGUGUCACAUGUGUCACGUGUGUCAUGCGUGUGCAAUGGGUGUGUAAUGGACGUGCAAUGGGUGAGCUCUGGGUGUGCAAUGGGUGUGCAAGGAACUGAGUGUGUGCAGUGUGUGGUGGGAGUGUGGUGUGUUUAUGUGUCACAUGUGUCACGUGCGUCGUGGGUGUGCAAUGGGCGUGCAAAGGCGUGGUGGGAGAGUGAGGGGGUGUCACACGCAUGUGGUGGGUGUGUAAUGGAUGUGCAAUGGGCGUGUUAGGAGUGUGUGUGUGUGUCGUGUGUUGUGUGUGUCCUGAGUGUGCAAUGGGUGUGUAAAGGGUGUGCAAUGGGCACGUAGGGUGUGUUGGGAGUGUAUGUGCGUGUGUUGUGUGUGAGUCAUGUGUGUUGUGUGUUGUGAGGGUGCAAUGGGUGUGUAAAGAGUGUGCAAUGCGUGUGCAGCUGCUGUGCAAUGGGUGUGCAAUCGGUGUGUUUGGAGUGUGUGUCUGUUCUGUGUGUGUGUCACGUGUGUCAUGUGUGUCCUGAGUGUGUAAAGGGUGUGCAAUGGGUGUGCAACGGGCAUGCGUCACGCUGAGUGUGUGCAAUGCAUGUUGGGAGUGCGCGUGCAGUGUGUGUGGUGUGUGUGUGUCACACAAGCCAUGUGUGAGCAGUGGGUGUGCAAUGGACGUGCAAUGGAUGUGCAAUGGGUGUGCAAUGGGUGUGCAAGGCACCGAGUGCAUGCAGUGUGUGGUGGAAGUGUGGGGGGAUGUGUGUCACGUGUGUCAUACGUGCCAUGUGCAUAGUGGGUGUGCAAUGGGUGUGUAAUAGAUGUGCAAAGGGUGUGCGGGCCGCCGAGUGUGUGGGAGUGUGUGUGUUGUGUGUGUGCUGUGAGCGUGCAAUGGGUGUGUAAUAGACGUGCAAUGGAUGUGAGGGUUGCCAAGUGUGUGGGAGUGUGCGUGUUAUAAGUGUGUGCUGUGGGUGUGCAAUGGGUGUGCAACGGGCAUGCGUCACGUUGAGAGUGUGCAAUGCAUGUUGGGAGUGUGCGUGCAGUGUGUGUGGUGUGUGUGUGUGUCACACGUGCCAUGUGUGAGCAGUGGGUGCGCAAUGGACGUGCAAUGGAUGUGCAAUGGGUGUGCAAGGCACUGAGUGCAUGCAGUGUGUGGUGGGAGUGUGGGGGGACAUGUGUCACGUGUGUCACACGUGCCAUGUGCAUUGUGGGUGUGCAAUGUCCGUGUCAUAGACGUGCAAUGGGCGUGCGGGGGGCCGAGUGUGUGGGAGUGUGUGUGCUGGGUGUGCGAUGGGUGUGUAAAGGGCAUGCAGGGCGCCGAGCGCGUGUGGUGCAUGGUGUGAGUGUGUGUGUGUGUGUGUGUGUGUGUGUGUCACGUGUCACGUUAGUCACACGUCACGUGUGUGGUGGGUGUGCAAUAGACGUGCAAAGGUCGUGCAAUGGGUGUGCAAGGCACUGAGUGUGUGCGGUGCGUGGUGGGAGUGUGUGUGGUGGGUGUGCAAUGGGCGUGCAGUGGGUGUGCAAGGCACCGAGUGUGUGCGGUGUGUGGUGGGAGUGUGUGUGGUGCGUGUGUGUGUGGUGGGUGUGCAAUGGGCGUGCAAUGGGUGUACAAUGGGUGUGCGUGGCACUGAGCACAUGCAAUGCAUGUUGGGAGUGUGCAUGAAGUGUGUGCAGUGUGUAUGUGUCACACGGGCCAUGUGUGAGCAGUGGGUGUGCAAUGGGCGUGCAAUGAGUGUGCAAUGAAUGUGCAGUUUGUGUGCAGGGCACUGAGUGCGUGUACUGAGUGUUCUACAUGCGUGUUGUGUGUGUCACGUGUGUCACGCAUGUUGUGUGUGUGCGCUGGGUGUGCAAUGGGCGUGCAAUGAGUGUGCAACGAGUGUGCAGGACGCUGUGUGCAUGUACUGAGCGUUGUGCAUGCGUGUUGUGUGUGUCACGUGUGUCACGCGUGUUGUGUGUGUGCAGUGGGUGUGCAAUGGGCGUGCAAUGAGUGUGCAGUGAGUGUGCAGGGCACUGAGUGCAUGUACUGAGUGUUCUACAUGCGUGUUGUGUGUGUCACGCAUGUGUCACGCGUGUCGUGUGUGUGGUGGGUGUGCAAUGGGCAUGCAAUGGGUGUGCAAUGAGUGUGCAAUUUGGGUGCAGGGCACUGAGUGCGUGCAAUGCACGUUGUGAGUGUGCAUCAAGUGCGUGUAUGUGUCACGCGGGCCAUGUGUGAGCAGUGGGUGUGCAAUGGGCGUUCAAUGAGUGUGCAAUUUUGUGCAGGGCACUGUGUGUACUGAGCGUUGUGCAUGCGUGUGUGAGUGUGCUGCGUGUGUCACACGGGCCAUAUGUGAGCAGUGUGUGUAAUGGGCGUGCAAUGAGUGUGCAGGACACUGUGUGCAUGUACUGAGCAUUGUGCAUGCGUGUUGUGUGUGUCAUGUGUGUGUCACGCGUGUUGUGUGUGUGGUGGGUGUGCAAUGGGAGUGCAAUGAGUGUGCAACAGAUGUGAGGAGUGCUGAGUGUGCGCAGUGAGUGUUGUGAGUGUGCUUUGUGCGUGCGUGUGCUGUGUGUUGUCUGAGUUGUGUAUUGCGUGCGUGCAGUGGGCGUGCAACGGGUGUGCAACGGGCAUGCGGCGUGCUGAGUGUGUGCGCUGUGUGUUGCGUGCGUGUGUAUGGAGCGUGCGGUGUGUCUCACACGUGUCGUGUGUGCUGUGGGUGUGCAACGGCCAUGCGAUUUGGGCUGUGGGUGUGUGGCGGGCGUGCAAGAGGCAUGCAGGGCACCGAGUGCACACGGUGAGUGCUAUGUGGGUGUGUCAUGUGGGUGUGGUGUGUGUGCAGUGGGCGUGCAAUGGGUGUGCAUGCAGUGUGUUGUGUGUGUGUCAUGUGUGUGGUGUGUCACACGUGUCACGUGUGCAGUGGGUGUGCAAGGGGCGUGCAAUGGCUGUGUGAUGGGCGUGCAAUGUGUGUGCAAUGAGUGUGCAUGCAGUGCAUGUUGUGUGUGCGUCUUGCGCGUGUGUUGUGUGUGUGGUUUGUGUCACGUGUCACGUGUGCAGUGGGUGUGCAAGGGGCGUGCAAUGGGUGUGCAAUGGGCGUGCAAUGGGCGUGCAAUGGGUGUGCAGGCACUGAGUGCAUGCAGUGUGUGUGUGUGUGUCAUGUGUGUGGUGUGUGUCACAUGUGUCACGUGUGCAGUGGUUGUGCAGGGGUGUGCAGUGGCUGUGUGAUGAGUGUGCAAUGGGUGUGCAAUGGGCCUGCAGGCACUGAGUGCAUGCAGUGCUGGUUGUGAGUGUGUGUCUCAUGUGUGAGAGGUGUGUAGUGUGUGUCACACGUGUCACGUGUGCAGUGGGUGUGCAAGGGGCGUGCAAUGCCUGUGUGAUGGGCGUGCAAUGGGCGUGCAAUGGGUGUGCAGGCACUGAGUGCAUGCAGUGUGUGUGUGUGUGUCAUGUGUGUGGUGUGUGUCACAUGUGUCACGUGUGCAGUGGUUGUGCAGGGGUGUGCAGUGGCUGUGUGAUGAGUGUGCAAUGGGUGUGCAAUGGGCCUGCAGGCACUGAGUGCAUGCAGUGCUGGUUGUGAGUGUGUGUCUCAUGUGUGAGAGGUGUGUAGUGUGUGUCACACGUGUCACGUGUGCAGUGGGUGUGCAAGGGGCGUGCAAUGGCUGUGCAAUGGGUGUGCAAUGGGUGUGCAGGCACCGAGUGCAUGCAGUGUUCGUGUGUGUGUCGUGUGUGUGGUGUGUCUCACACGUGACACGUGUGCAGUACGUGUGCAAUGGGUGUGCAAGUGGUGUGCAUUGGCUGUGUGAUGGGCGUGCAAUGGGCGUGUAAUGGGUGUGCAGGCACUGAGUGCACGCAGUGCUGGUUGUGUGUGUGUGUUUUGUGCGUGUGUUGUGUGCGUGCUGUGUGGCACACGUGUCACAUGUGCAGCGGGUGUGCAAUGGAUGUGGAAUGGGUGUGCAAUGGGCCUGCAGGCACUGAGUGCAUGCAGUGCUGGUUGUGAGUGUGUGUCUCAUGUGUGAGUGGUGUGUAGUGUGUGCCACAUGUGUCACGUGUGCAAUGGGCAUGCAAUGGGUGUGCAAUAGGCGUGCAAUGGGCGUGCGGUGUGCGUGUUGUGAGUGUGUGUGUGGUGUAGUGCGUGUGUGUGUCGUGUGUGCCACGCGUUUGUGUGCAGUGGGUGUGCAAGGGGAGUGCAGGGGGUGUGGGGGGCACUGUGUGCGAGUGUGUUGUGUGUGUACAGAGUGUGAGUCACAUGUGUGUCACGUGUUUGUGUCACGUGUGUGUCACAUGUGUGUGUCACAUGUGUUGUGUGCGUUGAGUAUGCUUUUAGUGUGUGUGCAAUGGGCGUGCAAGGCACCUGCAGGGCAGUGAGUGUGUCUGGUGUUGCUAUGAGUGUGUUAUGUGUGUGUCACACGUGUUGUGUGUUCUGAGUGUGUGUGCAAUGGGCGUGCAGUGCAUGUGUGGGGUGCUGAGUGUGUCUGGUGCUUGUUAUGAGUGUGUCACGCGUGUGUCACGUGUGUUGUGUGUGCUGAUUGUGCCUAUAGUGUGUGUGCAAUGGUUGUGCAGUGCGUGUGCAGGGCACUGAGUGUGUCUGGUGAUUGUUAUGAGUGUCACGCGUGUGUCACACGUGUGUCACGUUUGUUGCAUGUUGUGUGUGCUGAGUGUGCUUAUAGUGUGCGUGCAAUGGGUGUGCAGUGUGUUUGUGGGGUGCUGCACGUAUGCAGUGUCACACGUUUGUGUGUGCAACGUGUGCAAUGCCUGCAAUCACGUGUGUGGUGUGUGCAGAGGGUGUGCAAUGUGCGUGCAAGGAGCGUGCACAGUGUGCAGUCUGUGUGCAAUGGGUGUGCAAUGUGUGUGCAGUGUGUGUGCAACGGGUGUGUCAUGUGUGCAGUGGGUGUGCAACGUGUGCAGCGCGUUGGUAACGUGAGCAACAAGUGCAGUGGGUUUACAGUGCGUGGUGUGUGUGCAACGGGUGUGCAAUGGGUGUGCACGGGGAGUGCUGUGGGCAUGCACAGGGCACGGUGGUGUGUGUGUGGAGCAGGGGGUGUGCAGAGGGAGCAGUGGGUGUGCAAGAGGAGUGUGGUGCGUGCAAAGGGUCUGCGGUGGGUGUGCACUGGGCUUGCACAGGGGGAGCUGUGUGUGCAGGGGAGUGCAACAUGUGCAGUGAGUGUGCAAGAGGAGUUCACUGCAUGCGUGGGGUGAGCGGUGGGUGUGUGCGCUGUGGGUGUGCAAUGAGUGUGUGCACAGGGCGUGCAGUGUGUGUGCAAAAAGAGUGCUGGGUGUGCAGUGAGUGUGCACACAGGUUGCAGUGGGUGUGCGGUGAGUGUGCAAAGGGGGUGCAGUGCGUGCAAAGAGCAUGCAGUAGACAUGCAGUGAGUGUGCAGCGCAGUGUGUGUGCACAGAGCGUGCAGUGUGUGCAGUGGGUGUGCAACAGGAGUGCAGUGCACGCUGUGGGUGGGCAGUGAGUGUGCAAAGGGGGUGCAGUGUGUGCAAGGAGUGCACAGUGGACGUGUAAUGAGUGUGCAGUGGGCGUGCACGGGGAGUGCAGUGCGUGCAGUGAGUGUGCAAUGGGUGUGCACAGUGUGUGCAGAAUGGGUGUGCACAGGGAAUGCAGUGUGCAGUGAGUGUGCAGUGGGUGUGCACAGGGAAUGCAGUGUACAGAAUGGGUGUGCAGUGAGUGUGCACUGCGUGCCAUGAGUGUGCACAGGGAGUACAGUUGGCAUGCAACGGGCAUGCACAGGGGGUCUAAUAGGUGUGCAGUGAGUGUGCAAUGAGUGUGCACAGGGAGUGCAGUUGACAUGCAGUGUCCGAUGGGUGUGCACAGGGGGUGCAAUGGGUGUGCAGUGAGUGUGCAAUGAGUGUGCACAGGGAGUGCAGUUGGUGAGCAGUGGGUGUGCACACGGGAUCUAAUGGGAGUGCAGCAAGUGUGCAAUGAGUGUGCACAGGGGGUGUGAUGGAGAUGCAGUGCAGUGAGUGUGCAAUGGGUGUGCAGAGGGAUUGUAAUGGAUGUGCAGUGCAGUGAGUGUGCAAUGAGUGUGCAGAGGGGAUUCAGUGCAUGCAGUCGGUGUGCAAUGGGUGUGCAAAGGGAUUGUAAUGGAUGUGCAGUCAGUGUGCAGUGGUUGUGCAAAGGGAUUGUAAUGGAUGUGCAGUGAGUGUGCAACGGGUGUGCACAGGGAGUCUAAAGGAUGUGCUGAGCAGUGAGUGUGCAAUGGGUGUGCACUGGGAGUGCAGUGUGUGCAGUCGGUGUGCAAUGGGUGUGCAAAGGGAUUGUGAUGGAUGUGCAGUGCAGUGAGUGUGCAAUGGGUGAGCACUGGGUGUGUAAUGAGUGUGCACACAGUGUGUAGCGUGUGAGCACGGGAUGUGCACGCACGUUGCACCCACAAGGUUUGCACACCCGAGCAAGUGGUGCAGGUGUGCAUUAUGUGGUGCGUGUGCAGGGCUCUCACGCGUGUGCACAGGGGUGUGGGUGUGCAAGGUGUGAAUGUUUGUGCACCGGGGCAGUGUGCUUUGCACAGUGUGCUGACAGGAUGCGUGUGCAAUGUGAUCCUACUCACACGCGUGUGCAAGGCAGUCUGUGCGCAUGGCGACGCUCAUGCACGUGUGCUCCUCAUGCACACUCAUGCCACGUGCCUUGCACACGCGAGCAGUGCUCAACACAUCGCUUGUGCACACUUGCGUGUGCGUGUGCAACAGCCGCAGCACUUGCAGAGCAUGGGAGGUGGCACCUAACAUGCGUGUGCAAACAUGUUUGUGCAUACAAUGGGUGUGCAACACCAGCAAAGUGUGCAAGCGUGCUCAGGGCUGUGUACACAACACAUGCGUGAGCCUGCACGCUGCAUGAGUGUGCAAGAUGUGCAACGUCUGCUUGCACGAUGAGUGUUUGUGUGUGCAUAUAUGUACGUGUAUGUGCAAUAAGUGUGCAACACCAGCAGCACUUGCGGAGCACACAUGUGUGUCUGUGUGCUGCCACAACGAGUGUGCAAGCCUGCGUGUUGCAUGCAUGUGCCUGCACGGAUAUGCGUGUGCAAGAGGUGUGCAACAGCAGCAGCACUUGCAGAGCACACAUGUGUUUCUGUGUUAUGGCACAACGAGUGUGCAAGGCUGCGAGGUGUGUGUGUGCAUACAUGUACGUGUGUGUGCAAGAGGUGUGCAACAGCAGCAGCACUUGCAGAGCGCACACGUGUGUCUGUGGGCUCCCACAAUGAGUGUGUAAGGCCACGUACUGCAUGUAUGUAUGUGCAUGUGCCUGCAUGGAUAUGCGUGUGCAAGAGGUGUGCAACAGCAGCAGCACUUGCAGAGCGCACACGUGUGUCUGUGUGCUGCCACAAUGAGUGUGCAAGGCUGUGUUGCAUGUUUGUAUGCGUGUGUGCCUGCAUGGGUAUGUGUGUGCAAGAGGUGUGCAACACCAGCAGCACUGGUGGAGCACACUUGUGUGUCUGUGUGCUGCCACGAUGAGUGUGCAAGGCUGUGUGUUGCAUGCGUGUGCAUGUGCCUGCAUGGGUAUGUGUGUGCAAGAGGUGUGCAACAGCAGCAGCACUUGCAGAGCACACACGUGUGUCUGUGUGCUGCCACAACGAGUGUGCAAGGCUGCGAGGUGUGUGUGUGCAUACAUGUACGUGUGUGCAAUAAGUGUGCAACAGCAGCAGCACUUGCAGAGCUCACACGUGUGUCUGUGGGCUCCCACAAUGAGUGUGCAAGGCUGUGUGUUGCAUGCGUGUGCCUGCAUGGGUAUGUGUGUGCAAGAGGUGUGCAACAGCAGCAGCACUUGCAGAGCACACACGUGUGUGAUGGCACAAUGAGUGUGCAAGGCUGCGUGUAGCAUGUUUGUAUGCGUGUGUGCCUGCAUGGGUAUGUGUGUGCAAGAGGUGUGCAACACCAGCAGCACUUGUGUGCAUGCCUGCCUGCCCACGUCUGCUUGAUGUGAGUGUGUACGUGAGUGCACACCGGCUGCGCGUGCAAACAUUGGCAUGGGUGUGCAAAACCAGCAGCACGUGCAGAGCACACAAGCCUGCUUGUGUGUGGGUGUGUCUGCGUGUGCAAAUGUUCACACGCGUGUGCAGCACCCGCCGCACUUAGGGCGCCUCGCUUGGAUCCACGUGCGUGUCAGGUGUGUGUGUGUGUGUGCGUGUGCAUACAUGCACACGCGUGUGCAACACCGACAGCGCUCACAAAGCAGAGCAGCUCCUUCCUGUCUGCUUGCACGAGGAGUGUGUGAAUGUGUGUGCACGUGUGAGUGUGUGUGCAUGUAAAUUCGUGACACACGCGUAUGCUUGAAUGUGUGGAUGGGUGUGCAUGUGCGUGUGCCCACACGUACACGCGUGUGCAACAGCUGUGCAGCACUCACAGCGCGUGUGAGCCGGCUGCUGCCUGCUGGCACCACAUACAUACCCGUGCUUGCACACGCGUGUGCAACAUGCAUAGCUAUAAGCGAGCGUGCACAUGUGUGUGCCUCCAUGUACACGCGUGUGCAACACCAGCAGCCAUUGCAGAGCAUGCAGGCCCUACUGCUGCCUGCUUGCACGUGCGUGUGUAAGCAUGCGUGCCCUCUGUGUGUGAGUGUGCACGUGUAAGUGCACAACACACACGUGUGCCUGCACGUUGCAUGCCUGUACAUGUGUGUGCUCACACGUAUGUGUGCAACAGCGGCCGUGACAUGCGCAUACCUGUGCUUGCACACGCCUGUGCAUACAUGCUGCAGGGCUAUAUGUGCGUGUGCUCACGUGCGUGUGCAACAGCAGAGCAGCACCACCAGCACUCAUAGAGCCCCUGUGAGCCAAUUGCUUCCUGCUGGCACCACACAGUUGCACAGAUGCUUGCACACGCGUGUGCAUGAACUACGGCCUGUCACACACAUGUGCAUGCAUGUAUCUGUGUGUGUGCUCACACGUGCGUGUGCAACAGCAAUCAGCAUCUGCAGCACUCAUAGCGCCCUUGUGAGCUGACGGCCGCCUGCUGGCACCACACGGUUGCACAUACACUUGCACACACGUGUGCACUCACUACGGUCUAUCACACACGUGCACACGCACGUUGUGUGCAUAUGAGUGUGCAACAGUCAUGCACUCUCAGAGCCCCUGUGAGCCAAUUGCUGCCUGCUGGCACCACACGGUUGCACGUACACUUGCACACACGUGCGCACUCACUACGGCCUAUCACACACACGUGUGCACACCUGCAGUGUGUGUGUGAGUGUGCAACAGCAGAGCAGCACCUGUAGCACUCAUAGAGCCCUUGUGAGCUGACAGCUGCCUGCUGGCACCACACGGUUGCACAUACACAUGCACACGCGUGUGCACACACUACAGCCUGUCACACACGUGUGCAUGUAUAUAUAUAUGUGUGUGCGCUCACACGUGCGUGUGCAACAGCAAUCAGCACCUGCAGCACUCAUAGAGCCCUUGUGAGCUGACGGCCGCCUGCUGGCACCACACAGUUGCACAUACACUUGCACACGCGUGUGCACUCACUAUGGCCUAUCACACAUGCGUGCAUGCAUGCUGUGUAUAUGUUAGUGUGCAACGGCCAUGCACUCUCAGAGCCCCUGUGAGCCAAUUGCUGCCUGCUGGCACCACACAGCUGCACAGAUGCACACGCGUGUGCACUCACUAUGGCCUAUCACACACGUGUGCACACCUGCAGUGUGUGUGUGAGUGUGCAACAGCAGAGCAGCACCUGCAGCACUCAUAGAGCCCUUGUGAGCUGACAGCCGCCUGCUGGCACCACACGGUUGCACAUACACGUGCACACGCGUGUGCACACACUACAGCCUGUCACACACGUGUGCAUGCAUAUAUAUGUGUGUGUGCUCACACGUGCGUGUGCAACAGCCACGCAGCACUCACAGAGCCCUUGUGAGCCGACAGCCGCCUGCUGGCACCACACGGUUGCACAGACACUUGCACACACGUGUGCACUCACUACAGCCUGUCACACACGUGUGCAUGCAUAUAUAUAUAUGUGCGUGUGUGCUCACACGUGCGUGUGCAACAGCCAUGCAAUACCCGCAUCACUCACAGAGCCCUUGUGAGCCAAUUACUGCCUGCUGGCACCACACAGUUGCACAGACGCACACGCGUGUGCACUCACUACAGCCUGUCACACGCAUGUGCAUGCACGUACAUGUGUGUGCUCACACGUGCGUGUGCAACAGCCACGCAGCACUCACAGAGCCCUUGAGAGCCUAUUGUUGCCUGCCGGCCCCACGCAGUUGCACAGACACACACACGUGUGCACUCACUACAGCCUGUCACACGCGUGUGCAUGCAUAUAUUGCUCACACGUGCGUGUGCAACAGCCACGCAGCACUCACAGAGCCCUUGUGAGCCGACAGCCGCCUGCUGGCACCACAUGGUUGCACAGACACUUGCACACACGUGUGCACUCACUACAGCCUGUCACACACGCGUGCACACCUGCAGUGUGUAUGUGAGUGUGCAACAGCCAUGCAGCACCCGCAGCACUCACAGAGCCCCUGAGAGCCUAUUGCUGCCUGCUGGCACCACGCUGUUGCACAUACACUUGCACACACGUGUGCACUCACUAUGGCCUGUCACAGACGUGUGCAUGCACGUACAUGUGUGUGCUCACACGUGCAUGUGCAACAGCCACGCAGCACUCACAGAGCCCUUGAGAGCCUAUUGCUGCCUGCUGGCACCACAUGGUUGCACAGAUACUUGCACACUAUGGCCUAUCACACACGUGUGCACACCUGCAGUGUGUAUGUGAGUGUGCAACAGCCAUGCAGCACCCGCAGCACUCACAGAGCCCAUGAGAGCCUAUUGCUGCCUGCUGGCACCACACUGUUGCACAUACACUUGCACACACGUGUGCACUCACUACAGCCUGUCACACACGUGUGCAUGCAUAUAUGUGUGUGUGCUCACACGUGCGUGUGCAACAGCCACGCAGCACUCACAGAGCCCUUGUGAGCCGACGGCCGCCUGCUGGCACCACAUGGUUGCACAGACACUUGCACACACGUGUGCACUCACUACAGCCUGUCACACACGUGUGCACACCUGCAGUGUGUAUGUGAGUGUGCAACAGCCAUGCAGCACCCACAGCACUCACAGAGCCCCUGAGAGCCUAUUGCUGCCUGCUGGCACCACACUGUUGCACAUACACUUGCACACACGUGUGCACUCACUACAGCCUGUCACACACGCGUGCACACCUGCAGUGUGUAUGUGAGUGUGCAACAGCCAUGCAGCACCCGCAGCACUCACAGAGCCCCUGAGAGCCUAUUGCUGCCUGCCGGCCCCACGCACGCUCACACCCGCGUGUGCACUCACCCGACGGCCCCUCACACGCGCGUGCAAAGCCCGGGGGGGGGGAUUUCGACCAAAGGGGGGGGUCGGGGGGGGGGAGGGGUCGGUUGCAGGUUGGCUAUGGGGGGGUUUUGGGGGGGGGGGGGGGUUUGCUAGCGCUACUGUGACGGCAUCCCUGAUCUUCGUCGCUAGUGAGAAGUGGGGCCGGGCGGCCGCGAGUCCUCGUGAGUCCUCGUGAGCUCACGCCGGCCACCCUCCACGAUUAUUUAUCCGUAUGAGUAUGAUUAGUAUCCUUAUUAUCAUUAAUUAUUAUUAUUAUUAUUAGCAUUCUUAGUAUUAUUAGUAUUAUUGCUCUGAGAGGUUUCAGUCCGACGCGGUCAUGGAGGAGAAGUUGGGCGCUCCCACAGCGCCACCUGCAGGACGGGAGGAGAAACGGCGCCCCCCCGCCCCCAUAGCGGCUCUUCCUCCUCCUCCUCCUCCUCUCCUCUCCUCGACGUCGUCGUCUGCUUCGCUCUGUGCUGAGUCCCGUUGGGGGGGUUUUUGGGGAGGGGGGUGGGGGGGGGGGGGGGUUGGGGGUCCCUCCCCUCCGCUCGGUGCUUUUUGCUUUUUUUCUUGCUUUUUUUUCUUUUCUUUUGGCUUUUUUUGUUUGUUUGUUUUUCUCUCGUUUUUUUUUUCCCUGUUUUAUUUUCUCCUUUUUUUUUUCGGUUUUUUUUUCUUCUUUUUUUCCUUCAUUUUUAAGCUUUUUUUCUCCCUUUUUAAAUCUUUUCUUCCCCUUUUCUUCUCCUUUUCUUCUCCUUUUCUUCUCCUUUUUUUCUCCUUUUCUCUCCUUUUUUCUCCUUUUCUCUCCUUUUUUCCUUUUUUUCUUCUCCUUUUCUUUUCCUUUUCUUCUCCUUUUUUCUCCUUUUUCUUCUCCUUUUCUUCUCCUUUUUUCUCCUUUUCUUCUCCUUUUUCUUCUCCCUUUUUCUCCUUUUUUCUCCCUUUUUUCUCCUUUUUUUUCUCCUUUUCUUCUCCUUUUUCUUCUCCUUUUCUUCUCCUUUUUCUCCUUUUUCUCCUUUUUUCUCCUUUUUUCUCCUUUUUUCUCCUUUUUUCUCCUUUUUUCUCCCUUUUUUCUCCUUUUUUCUCCUUUUUUCUUCUUUUCUUCUCAUUUUUUCUCCAUUUUAUCUCCUCUUCUUCCUUUUUUCUCAUUUUCUCCUUUUUUCCUCCUUUUCUCUUUCUCUUUUUCUUCUCCUUUUUUUCUCCUUUUCUUCUCGUUUUUUUCUCCUUUUUUCUCCUUUUCUUCUCCUUUUUUCUCCUUUUUUCCUCCCUUUUCUCCCUUUUUCUCCUUUAUUUCUCCUUUUUUCUCCUUUUUCUCCUCCUUUUCUCCUCUGUUUCUCCUUUUUCUCCUUUUCUCUCCAUUUUUUCCUCCUCUUUUUUCUCCUUUUUUUCUCCCUUUUUCUCCUAUUUUUGGCACCUCUUCCCAUUUUCUUCCCCUCUUCCUUUCAAAUCUUUUUUCCUCUCUUUUUUUUUCCUCAUUCUCCCCCUUUUUUCUCCUUUCUCUCCUUUUUUUCGCAUUUUUUCUCCUCCUUUUCUCCUCUUUUAUUCCUCUUUUCCUCCACUUUUUCACCUCUUUUUCUCCAUUUUUUCUCCUCUUUUCCUCCUUUUUUUCUCCUCUUCUCCUCCUUUUUUUUCCUCCUCAUUUUCUCCUUUUUUCCUCCCUUUUUCUCCUUUUUUUUCCAUUUUUUCACCUCUUUUCCUCCUUUUUUCUCCUCUUCUCCUCCUUUUUUUCUCAUCAUUUUCUCCUUUUUCCUCCCUUUUUUUCUCCUCUUUUUCCUCACUAUUUUCUCCUUUUUUCUCCUUUUUUCUCCAUUUUAUCUCCUCUUCUCCUCCUUUUUUUCUCAUUAUCUUUUUUCCUCCAUUUUUUCUCCUCUUUUCCUCCUUUUUAUUCUCCUCUUCUCCUCCUUUUUUUUCUCAUUUUCUCCUUUUUUCCUCCCUUUUUUGUCCUUUUUUCUCCAUUUUAUCUCCUCUUCUCCUCCUUUUUUUUCUUCUCAUUUCCUCAUUUUUUCCUCCCUUUUUCUCCCUUUUUCUCCAUUUUUCUCUUUUCCUCCUUUUUUUCUCCUCUUCUCCUCCUUUUUUCCUCCUCAUUUUCUCCAUUUUUCCUCCUUUUUUUCUCCUUUUUUCUCCAUUUUUUCUCCUCUUCUCCUCCUUUUUUUUUCUUCUCAUUUCCUCCUCUUUUUCCUCCCUUUUUCUCCUUUUUUUCUCCCUUUUUUCUCCUCUUUUCCUCCUUUUUAUUCUCCUCUUCUCCUCCUUUUUUUUCCUCCUCAUUUUCUCCUUUUUUCCUCCCUUUUUCCUCCUUUUUUCUCCUUUUUUCUCCAUUUUAUCUCCUCUUCUCCUUUUUUCCUCCCUUUUUUCUCCUUUUUUCUCCAUUUUAUCUCCUCUUCUCCUCCUUUUUUCCUCCCUUUUUUCCUCCUUUUUUUCUCCUUUUUUCCUCCUUUUUCCUCCUCUUUUCCUCCUCAUUUUCUCCUUUUUUCCUCCCUUUUUUCUCCUUUUUUCUCCCUUUUUCUCCAUUUUAUCUCCUCUUCUCCUCCUUUUUUCCUCCCUUUUUUCUCCUUUUUUCUCCAUUUUAUCUCCUCUUCUCCUCCUUUUUUCCUCCCUUUUUUCCUCCCUUUUUUCUCCUUUUUUCCUCCUUUUUCCUCCUCUUUUCCUCCUCAUUUUCUCCUUUUUUCCUCCCUUUUUUCUCCUUUUUUCUCCCUUUUUCUCCAUUUUAUCUCCUCUUCUCCUCUUUUUUUUCCUCCUCAUUUUCUCCUUUUUUCCUCCCUUUUUCCUCCCUUUUUUCUCCUUUUUUCUCCAUUUUAUCUCCUCCUCCUUUUUUCCUCCUUUUUUUCUCCUUUUUUCCUCCUUUUUCCUCCUCUUUUCCUCCUCUUUUUCUCCUUUUUCCUCCCUUUUUCUCCUAUUUUUUGGCAUCUCUUCCCAUUUUCUUCCCCUCUUCCUUUCCAAUCUCUCUUUUUUUUUUCUCUCCUUUUUUCGCAUUGUUUUUCCCAUCCCGUUCUGAGAUUCGACUUUGGCAUCGCGGGGGGGGGG
ensembl:lncRNA